AUUGAACGCUGGCGGCAUGCCUUACACAUGCAAGUCGAACGGUAACGCGGGGCAACCUGGCGACGAGUGGCGAACGGGUGAGUAACGCAUCGGAACGUGCCCAGUAGUGGGGGAUAGCCCGGCGAAAGCCGGAUUAAUACCGCAUACGACCUACGGGUGAAAGGGGGGGAUCGCAAGACCUCUCGCUUUUGGAGCGGCCGAUGUCAGAUUAGGUAGUUGGUGGGGUAAAGGCCUACCAAGCCUGCGAUCUGUAGCUGGUCUGAGAGGACGACCAGCAACACUGGGGCUGAGACACGGCCCAGACUCCUACGGGAGGCAGCAGUGGGGAAUUUUGGACAAUGGGCGCAAGCCUGAUCCAGCCAUGCCGCGUGCGGGAAGAAGGCCUUCGGGUUGUAAACCGCUUUUGUCAGGGAAGAAAAGCCUUGGGUUAAUACCCUGGGGUGAUGACGGUACCUGAAGAAUAAGCACCGGCUAACUACGUGCCAGCCGCCGCAGUAA
rnacentral:rRNA from 1 species